UACAGAGGUCUCAAGCGUUGUUCGGAAUUACUGGGCGUAAAGGGCUCGUAGGCGGCCAACUAAGUCGGACGUGAAAUCCCUCGGCUUAACCGGGGAACUGCGUCCGAUACUGGAUGGCUUGAGAUUGGGAGAGGGAUGCGGAAUUCCAGGUGUAGCGGUGAAAUGCGUAGAUAUCUGGAGGAACACCGGUGGCGAAGGCGGCAUCCUGGACCAACACUGACGCUGAGGAGCGAAAGCCAGGGGAGCAAACGGG
rnacentral:rRNA from 1 species